CUGCGAGGGGGCUGGGAAGCACAUGGCCCUGGGUGUGGAGUACUCUCAGCAAACCAGGCCCUGUGCUUUCACUGUGCCGUUUUCUAUGUUUCAGUCACUUCUAUGACUGUUGGGGCGCAAAGGAGGAAACUGGGGUUCAGAGGCUACAGAACCUAACAUCGCAGAGCUAUCUGCAGGUCACACGGGACCUCCUGGUACCACGUGAGAGGCACUGCAGGAGGGUGUGCGUUCCAGGAGGUGGGAUCACUGGGCGCCACCUUCCAGGCUGGUCACCACAGCUGGUCAAGGGCAGAGCCAGGACUCCAGUUCUGCUGGGAUGCAGGGAAAGACAAAAGAAGAAGGGUGCCAGGCCUGCACCCCUGGAGUCCCUGGUCACCACUCCUGAGGCUCCCAAGAUGCGUUUGCUCAUGGCUGCCAGUGGAUGGAUGAAAAAUGUGACUCAGCCAAUGAUUUCCAAGCCAUCUGGCUAAACAUCCUCCUAUAUGAAUCAUGCUUUGUGAGGAAAACAUUAGACUGGAAUUCUGGAAAUAGAAAGUUGCCUGAGAUCUCAGCAUGUAGGGCAACAGCACCUUCAUACACUGAUGGCAGCCGUGCGGAGCCUGGGCCAAGUGCCUUCUCCCCAGAAGAUACAGUGGGAGAAUAACAGAGCCUCCUAAUAUGUCUACACCUGAAUCUCCCAACCUGUGAAUAUGCUGUCUUACGUGAAAAGGAGGAAUUAAGGUGGCUUGCCAGGGAGCUGACCUUAAAAUCCGGAGAUCAUUCAGCACUAAGAAAUUUAUACAGAAGCCCCAUCUGAGGCCACAGAAUGGAGAAGGAACCCACGGGGCCCAAAAGAGUGCCCAGGCAGGGUCCCUUGCAGCCUUCUAGACACACUUGAACACCAGAGUUCGCACAAUUCCCUGUCCGUCACUCCACGGUCCAUCUUCCCCAGGGCAGCUGGGGUUGGGUGGGGAGGAACCCAAUAGGUCCACGGUGGGUAAGUCAAAGAAUAUCCAUCUUGGAGAACACUGGACAUCUUGUUAAAACAGUGAGACAGGUCCACAUAUACCCACCUGGGAAGCUCUCCCCUUCAUGUCGUUCAAUUCAAACAAUUAGUGAAUGGCAGAGUCGUAUUACAACUGCAAUUCCGGCUUGUAAAACAGAGCAGUAAAUGUGGAAAGGGGUCCAGGACCACGUUAGGAAGCACCACACCUAGCUGUUACAGGUUGGGAGGAGCAGGGCGCCGAGAAGAGGACUGGGGUGCCGGCGCUACAGGUUCGGGAGAGGCGGGCAGGGGGCGGGGCCGGGCUUCCAGCUCCCCGCCCACCCCUUGAAGACGUCAGAGGGCUCCCCGCGCCCCUAUUGCUCGGCCGAGGCGCAGCCCUCCGCAGGGCGGCCCUGAAUGGCCUGAGCCGGAGCCCCGCCCCCGGGAGGGAGCCCCGCCCAGGGCGCGCGAGUCCUCGGGCGCCGCGCCUCCUCCGCGAUCUGCGCU
ensembl:lncRNA